GGUAGGAGACAAGAUAGCAAGACUAGCGAUGUAGAAUUACUAACUCUAGGAUGAGCAUCUCACUUACACACUGGGCUGAAGGUAAGUGCCCUCAGCUCCCAGGGCCUUGGUUUUCUCGUCUGUACAAUGGACACAGUAGCAGCACCUCGCAGGUUUGUUGUGACUUUAAAGGGGCUUAGCAUUGUUCUCAGCGCUGAGGAAUUGCUCAAUAAAUGCUGGUGGUUACAGUUUCCUUGGGAACCCAGGGAGCCAGGGCAAGCUGCAGAGAGGAAAAAGUGAAUCAGAGGGAAAAUGUUCAUAUCAGAAACUGGAGAUCAAAACAAAACAAAACAAAGCCCUUUUUUGGGCACUCAGGAAGCCAAUCUGAGCUGCUCCUCCAUGGCCUUGUCCAGCUUUGACAAAUGUUUUUCCUGUUCCCAGAGCAGACUCUGAUCCUCUUCAAGAUGGGAGACUCUCAGGGAAAUCUUCAGAGGUUUGUUAUGACGGAAGCAGGAAGGUGAUGGAUAUGUUUUGGGGCAUUUUGAAACACAAAGGUGAAUGUAAUUUGGGAGGAGAGCUGUAUUUUCAUCCAGAGCUAUUAAAAUGCACCAGAGUGCCCUCUCCCUAAACCCCUGCCAGCCUUGAUAUUUUCCUAGAUCUCCACUCUAGAACUUCUGUGAGUGACACAGGCAGCCAUGACCGAGCUCACCGGAGUGGCGCAGCCAGUUUGCAGAUGAAGUUUUCCCAAGUGGGCCCAGAGCUGCCUGCAAACAUGGCCAGCGACAAGGACGUGGAGUGAGUCACUUCCCUUUGCCGUGAUGUGCCCACAGCUGCUCAACUGCACGAUCGGGCAGGUCCUGCUUAACCGGGUGAGGUCAAGUUCGAAGAGCUGAGUCUUGCAAUCUGGGAAACCAAGCCAUGAACCUGGUUCUGUCACCAGCUGAAGUCAAGUUGCUCAAGACUCCAUCCUUCUCUAGAGAGCCUAUCGGGAGCUUAUUUGGAGUGAAUACCAUUCGGAAAAAAAUUCAGCUAAGAAAAACAGGAAUCAAGACAUCAGUACAGGUUGCUGACAGGACCUUUGAUCUGGCCAGAAAUAAAUAUAAAGGAAGCAGCCACGAGCUCUCUUGCUGAGUUGCCAUCCAAACCAGCGGAGAUCAAUUUCGGUCUCAGGUGGCCCCCAGGACCGGGGAGCAGUGGGUGUGAGUUCCACUUUGCAAGGGGAGGCUGAGGCUCCCUGGAGAUUGUCCAGUGCUUCCUGCCUCCCGAGGCAGGGGAUGUGGGGAGAAAAGAAGACUCCAAAGAGCUCAGCACUGGCAGUGGGCUGGGUUCCGGAGAAGAGUCUGACCUGAUCCAGACGUGACAGUGAACUGCAGCAUUUGGGAAACGACAGUGAUGACAGCAGGUCCUUUCUCAUGCCUCCCACACAGUGGGCAAAAUACUCACACACAUAACCUUACUUGACCAUUACGGGGGCCCUAGGAAGCACGGAGGACCAUUAUUUUCACUUCAGAGGAGAAAACCGAGGUUUGGGGUAUAUUCAUGAGUUUCCCAGGGUCACCGUAGCUAAGGUGCCUCAGAGGAGAAUCCAGGCUCUGUGACUCCGACACUUAGCCAUUUAACCACUCUUCUCUUCUUAGCUAAUGACCGCAGCCCAGACGUUUGAGUUUCUCAAUGGAAAUGUUAUAGUUUCCCGCCUUGGUCCUUGAGCUGCAGUAUUAUAAAAACAGCAUCAUGAAGCAUGGUAUUUAUUGAAUGCUUGCUGUGUACACAGCCUGUGGGGGACUUUGACGGUCCAGAGGUGGGUGUGCACAGGAGGGCUCGGGAAGGAGUAGGGGAAGAGGUGUGGUUAUUAGGUGAUGUGGCCCUGUGUCUGGCUUGGGUGGCAGGAUGAAUGGCAGGACCACUCACCAGAUCAGCACACGGAAGGAAAAGGAUCAGCGGGGAGAAGGGGACAGGGACACUGAUCACUCACUCAGCACCAGCCCCUUACUCCCUACAAAUAGACUUUGUUCAUGCUUUGGCUGGUGGUGUAGUGGUGGCGUGUGAACCAUUUCUAAUCCAUGAGUAUUAGAUAGGGGCUGGAAUGACUCCAGAAAUGUUGCUUCUUGAUUGAUCCAAGUGAUCCCAGAGAAGGGGUUGCCUGCUGUCCUGUGCUUUCUGCCUUUGCCUGGGGUCGUGGUGUCUGGAGCCGGGACCGCCAUCUUGGGAGCCUGUGUUGACGACGUGAAUGUGUUGAGCCUUGGUACCCACCUAAGGGGCUGCCCCUCGCCUGCAGAACAGCUCUGUGGCUUCAGAUGCCCCACAUGGCCAAGCCCACUGUCUUUCUCGUCUCAUCCGUGGCGCCUACAUGAGUGGAGCUGGUUUAGUCUCUAGACUCCUCAGCACCCAGGAGCAGAGUGAAGAGGUUGGAACACGGUCACUGCAAUGGAAACACAAAAGGCUGUUCUAGGCAUCUUCGAAACCCUCAGUGAAUUUCCAUCUUUCUGUCCAAUGCCUUUGUGGAAGUUUCAGGCUUUACCCCAAAUUCUUGCCUGCUUGGACAACCCAUUCUGCCUCCUAAAAACCACUUAAGGGUAAAUGUGUACACCCAGCAAUUCCACCUCCCCAUGCUCUCUGAGAGAAACACUUGCAAAUGCUCAUAAAGGGCCACAUAAAACAACACUCGUUGCCACCCUGUUUGCAGCAGCAGCAAAGUGGAGACAGCCUGAAUGCCCAUCAUCAGGAGACGGCUAAAUAAAUCACAGCGUGUCUGUUCUGGGAAAGAACGUUCAGCAGUUUAGAGUAAUGAGAGCAAUCUACAGAGGGAUUUGCAGGACAUAUUGAUAAGUGGGAGAAAUUGCAGAAUGAUUGCAUUCAUGUAAAAACAAAAUUAAAAAGCACGUAGCUGAACAUUGCUUCUAGCAGUGCAGAGAAGUUUCUCCAAGGAGCAAAGCAAGAACAGUGAAGCCAAGCAAGAUGGAUUGGAGGGAGAAGAAAAGAAAGUCAUGAGGAUUUUCACUGCUCAUUUUCCUCUUGAAAUACUGCAUAUUUGACAAUAAGAAUCCACUGGGCAUUCUUACCAUACUUGGGAAGUAAAAACACGCAGGGAAGGUGAAAAUUGCAAUUCUAAAGGACAUAAUCUCAGCACAAUUCUGUAAACAUGAUUCUAUUCCCAGUGCUUUGCAACUGGAGAAUGGAAAUAAAUUGUGUUAUAUCCGUGUACUGAAAGACUAUGCUAAUAAGAAAAAACAAUUGCAAUGAUGCACAGCGACAUAAAUGCUGUUGAGUGAUAUCAUUGGAUGGAAGGACCUAUGUUCCAAAGAGCCACAUUGCAUGGUUCCAUUUGCAUAAGGAACAAAACCACAGAAAACAAACCUGGGGGCAGAGAGGUCUUCGGGAGCUGGGAGCUUCCAAAUUCAGGGAUUCUUUCCUGAUCCGUGUGCAGGUUA